rnacentral:tRNA from 1 species
GGCGGAGUAGCUCAGUAGGUUAGAGCAGAGGAAUCAUAAUCCUUGUGUCGGGGGGGGUUCGAAUCCCUCCUCCGCUA